UACGGGGGGAGCAAGCGUUGUUCGGAAUUACUGGGCGUAAAGGGCGCGUAGGCGGUCAGGUAAGUGAGAUGUGAAAUCCUCCGGCUCACCCGGAGAAAUGCAUCUCAUACUGCUUGACUAGAGUGCGGAAGAGGAAUCGGGAAUUCCAGGUGUAGCGGUGAAAUGCGUAGAUAUCUGGAGGAACACCGGUGGCGAAGGCGGCAUCCUGGACCGGUAUUGACGCUGAGGCGCGAAAGCUAGGGGAGCAAACGGG
rnacentral:rRNA from 1 species